CCUACGGGAGGCAGCAGUGGGGAAUCUUGCGCAAUGGGCGAAAGCCUGACGCAGCAACGCCGCGUGCGGGAAGAAGGCCUUAGGGUUGUAAACCGCUUUCAGUAGGAACGAAAAUGACGGUACCUGCAGAAGAAGGUGCGGCCAACUACGUGCCAGCAGCCGCGGUGACACGUAGGCACCAAGCGUUGUCCGGAUUUAUUGGGCGUAAAGAGCUCGUAGGCGGUUCAGUAAGUCGGGUGUGAAAACUCUGGGCUUAACCCAGAGCCGCCACUCGAUACUGCUGUGACUUGAGUUCGGUAGGGGAGCAGGGAAUUCCUAGUGUAGCGGUGAAAUGCGCAGAUAUUAGGAGGAACACCGGUGGCGAAGGCGCUGCUCUGGGCCGAUACUGACGCUGAGGAGCGAAAGCGUGGGUAGCAAACAGGAUUAGAUACCCUGGUAGUCCACGCCGUAAACGUUGGGCACUAGGUGUGGGUUCCAACCAACGGAAUCCGCGCCGUCGCUAACGCAUUAAGUGCCCCGCCUGGGGAGUACGGCGGCAACGCUAAAACUCAAAUGAAUUGACGGCUGAGNGCGACGAGCACACGGAGGUAG
rnacentral:rRNA from 1 species